GAUUAAGUUAUUAAGGGCGCACGGUGGAUGCCUUGGCACUAGAAGCCGAUGAAGGACGUUACUAACGACGAUAUGCUUUGGGGAGCUGUAAGUAAGCUUUGAUCCAGAGAUUUCCGAAUGGGGAAACCCAGCAUGAGUUAUGUCAUGUUAUCGAUAUGUGAAUACAUAGCAUAUCAGAAGGCACACCCGGAGAACUGAAACAUCUUAGUACCCGGAGGAAGAGAAAGAAAAUUCGAUUCCCUUAGUAGCGGCGAGCGAAACGGGAAGAGCCCAAACCAACAAGCUUGCUUGUUGGGGUUGUAGGACACUCUAUACGGAGUUACAAAGGACGACAUUAGACGAAUCAUCUGGAAAGAUGAAUCAAAGAAGGUAAUAAUCCUGUAGUCGAAAAUGUUGUCUCUCUUGAGUGGAUCCUGAGUACGACGGAGCACGUGAAAUUCCGUCGGAAUCUGGGAGGACCAUCUCCUAAGGCUAAAUACUCUCUAGUGACCGAUAGUGAACCAGUACCGUGAGGGAAAGGUGAAAAGCACCCCGGAAGGGGAGUGAAAUAGAACCUGAAACCGUGUGCUUACAAGUAGUCAGAGCCCGUUAAUGGGUGAUGGCGUGCCUUUUGUAGAAUGAACCGGCGAGUUACGAUUUGAUGCAAGGUUAAGCAGUAAAUGUGGAGCCGUAGCGAAAGCGAGUCUGAAUAGGGCGUUUAGUAUUUGGUCGUAGACCCGAAACCAGGUGAUCUACCCUUGGUCAGGUUGAAGUUCAGGUAACACUGAAUGGAGGACCGAACCGACUUACGUUGAAAAGUGAGCGGAUGAACUGAGGGUAGCGGAGAAAUUCCAAUCGAACCUGGAGAUAGCUGGUUCUCUCCGAAAUAGCUUUAGGGCUAGCCUCAAGUGAUGAUUAUUGGAGGUAGAGCACUGUUUGGACGAGGGGCCCCUCUCGGGUUACCGAAUUCAGACAAACUCCGAAUGCCAAUUAAUUUAACUUGGGAGUCAGAACAUGGGU
rnacentral:rRNA from 1 species